GCUCUUCCAUCUCAAUGGGCUUCAGAGGCCACUUCAGCACCCAUAAGGGUCAGUUUGGAUCUAGCUUUGACUGGAUCUGUCCUCUGGGGAUAUUGUGUUGGAGGUGCAGCCACACUCUGUGCAGCCACGCUUAGAGGUGGUAUUACGGAAAGGUGGUGGCUGGGUCGACAGGAAGAGUCUUUGUGA
ensembl:antisense Gm10714 predicted gene 10714